UACGGAGGGGGCAAGCGUUGUUCGGAAUUAUUGGGCGUAAAGGGCGCGUAGGCGGCCGAUCAAGUCGGGUGUGAAAUCCCUCGGCUCAACCGAGGAACUGCACCCGAUACUGCUUGGCUAGAGUCCGGGAGGGGAUGGCGGAAUUCCCAGUGUAGCGGUGAAAUGCGUAGAUAUCUGGAGGAACACCGGUGGCGAAGGCGGCGUUCUGGACUGCAACUGACACUGAGGAACGAAAGCCAGGGGAGCAAACGGG
rnacentral:rRNA from 1 species